rnacentral:rRNA from 1 species
CGAGGGGGCAAGCGUUGUUCGGAAUUAUUGGGCGUAAAGGGUGCGUAGGCGGUUUUGUAAGUCUUGUGUGAAAUCUUCAGGCUCAACUUGAAGACUGCACGAGAAACUGCAGGGCUUGAGUGUGGGAGAGGUGAGUGGAAUUCCUGGUGUAGCGGUGAAAUGCGUAGAUAUCAGGAGGAACACCUGUGGCGAAAGCGGCUCACUGGACCACAACUGACGCUGAUGCACGAAAGCUAGGGGAGCAAACAGGAUUAGAUACCCUGGUAGUCCUAGCCCUAAACGAUGACUGCUUGGUGUGACGGGUACCCAAUCCCGCCGUGCCGUAGCUAACGCGUUAAGCAGUCCGCCUGGGGAGUACGGUCGCAAGGCUG